rnacentral:lncRNA from 1 species
UCGGCUGGAGGUUCUCGACUUGGGCAGCAACUUCUUCUCCGGAGCACUGCCAGCGUCGCUUGCUCAGCUCGCAUCCACGCUGCGAACGCUGGAUCUGUCAGGUUACAGAUUCGAAGGACCGUUUCCAUCGGUUAUUGGAAAACUUACCAGCUUGAGGAAGCUCAUCCUGGAAAGAGCUGAUGCGUCUGCCGGCAGCAUUCCUUCGUUCCUCGCCAACCUCAAGAAUCUCACUGUCUUAAAUCUCCAAGGAAGCUGGUUCACGGGCUCCAUUCCUUCGUCCUUGAGUAAACUGAAAAAUCUUCAAACGCUCGAUCUCUCGGACGGCUUCCGGCUCACAGGGUCCAUACCGGCGUUUCUAGGCAGCCUUCAAAACCUGGAGUAUCUCGACUUGAGUGGUACCAAGUUUUCUGGUUCCAUUCCUCCAUCUCUCGGCAACCUCCCCAAGCUGCGUUUCCUGGACAUUUCCAACACGCUCGUCAGCAGUAGUAUACCUGUUGAGCUUGGAAAGCUUACCAGCUUGGAAACGCUGAGAAUCUCAGGCACCAAAGCCGCAGGACGAAUCCCCGACACGCUUGGAAACCUGAAGAAGCUAAAAGUGUUGGAGCUGUCUCAAAACGCAGGUAUGCGUGGUCCCAUUCCCAGCUCCUUCGGCCAGCUCUCUUCCCUGA